UACGUAGGGUGCAAGCGUUAAUCGGAAUUACUGGGCGUAAAGGGUGUGUAGAUUUCUUUUUUUAGAGUUUUUACGAAAGGCUAGGUGAACGCCUAGUUUGUAACUACUACGUAAAAGAUUGAGUUAUGAACGGGUUAAUUAGAAUUUUUGGUGUAAGGGUUAAAUCUAACAAUUCCAAAAAGAAUACUUGAAGUGAAGACGAAUAUCUAGUUUAUAACUGACGUUGAGGCACGGAGGUAUGGGGAGCAAACAGG
rnacentral:rRNA from 1 species